rnacentral:rRNA from 1 species
CAGUAGCCGCGGGAACACGGAGGGAGCUAGCGUUGUUCGGAAUUACUGGGCGUAAAGCGCGCGUAGGCGGUUACUCAAGUCAGAGGUGAAAGCCCAGGGCUCAACCCUGGAACUGCCUUUGAUACUGUCGAUCUCGAGUCCGGAAGAGGUGAGUGGAAUUCCGAGUGUAGAGGUGAAAUUCGUAGAUAUUCGGAGGAACACCAGUGGCGAAGGCGGCUCACUGGUCCGGUACUGACGCUGAGGUGCGAAAGCGUGGGGAGCAAACAGGAUUAGAUACCCCCGUAGUCCCUGUCUCUUAUAC